AUUGAACGCUGGCGGCAGGCCUAACACAUGCAAGUCGAGCGGAUGAAGGGAGCUUGCUCCUGGAUUCAGCGGCGGACGGGUGAGUAAUGCCUAGGAAUCUGCCUGGUAGGGGGGUAUAACGUCCGGAAACGGGCGUUAAUACCGCAUACGACCUGCGGGAGAAAGUGGGGGAUCUUCGGACCUCACGCUAUCAGAUGAGCCUAGGUCGGAUUAGCUAGUUGGUGGGGUAAAGGCCUACCAAGGCGACGAUCCGUAACUGGUCUGAGAGGAUGAUCAGUCACACUGGAACUGAGACACGGUCCAGACUCAUAGGGGAGGGAGCAGUGGGGAUUAUUGGACCAAGAGCGGAAGAUUGAUCCAGACGUGCCGCGUGUGUGAAGAAGGUCUUCGGGUGGGAAAGGACUUUCAGUGGGGUGGAAGGCGAGUACGCUUAUACCUUGCUGUUUUGAAGGUACCAACAGAAUAAACACCGGCUAACUUAGUG
rnacentral:rRNA from 1 species